rnacentral:rRNA from 1 species
UACGUAGGGUGCGAGCGUUUGUCCGGAAGUUAUUGGGCGUAAAGAGCUCGUAGGCGGUUCGGUAAGUUGGGUGUGAAACCUCCAGGCUCAACCCUGGAGACGCCACCCGAUACUGCUGUGACUAGAGUCCGGUAGGGGAGCGUGGAAUUCCUGGUGUAGCGGUGAAAUGCGCAGAUAUCAGGAGGAACACCAGCGGCGAAGGCGGCGCUCUGGGCCGGAACUGACGCUGAGGAGCGAAAGCGUGGGGAGCGAACAGG